rnacentral:tRNA from 1 species
GCUGAGGUGGUCUAGUGGUAAGACGCCGGGACAGCAAACCGGAGAUCGCUGGUUCGAAUCCAGCCCUCAGUA